ACAGCACAACUGUAAUGAACACAUAGA
rnacentral:piRNA from 1 species